UCGUUGUUUCAUUAAACUAGCCUUACAUGGCGCUGCGUCAAAUUAAUUAAAAAUAAUGGUUUAAAGUUAUUAAAAACGUGAAAUAAUUGUAAAUUAAUAGACCUCAUAGUGAAAGUCAUGUAAUAAAGUAAAAAUAAGUAUAUAAACGUUAGUAAAAACACGGAUGUAGCCGGAUUGCGAAUCCUACGUUAAAGGAACUAGCUCGCAACACGUUUCGUUGCGGUACCACGUUUCGGUACGCCGGCAAGUUUUCUCUUUUUUCAGCUUUCAGGUCAAAAGUAACUAAAAUCAUAAAUAAUGGAAGGAACAGAAGAAGAAGAUUUUCAAACUGUUACGGUAGCACAGUUACGGGAAGAAUUGACAUUACGUUAUUUGCCAGUAAGUGGCCUAAAACAUGAUUUAAUCAAAAGAAUUAUCGACGACAACAAAGCUAAAAUACAGGAUGGUACAAUGGAAGCAUUGAAGCAAGAAAAGGUACGUCGUACAUCUCAAAUUUUGGAAAUGGAGUCUAUGAGACAGCAAAUUCGGGAACUACAAGCAAGUCGAGCACAGGUAGUAAACGAAGGUAUGUCCACGGAAGGUACGAAUGCGACCUUAACCGAAGUUUUAACUCAAUUGGCACAGACUCAAGAAAUAAUUGCACAAAAAAUGUCUCCUACUUUUCAAGUCUUUUCAACCAGUGACACUAGUAACGCUAUUCCCCUUUUCGGUGGUAAUCGCACUGAAAAUGCAACUGAAUGGGUUAGGCAAGUAGAACGUAUAGCCGCACUAGCUAGUUGGUCAGAUAACUUGACAAUGGUAAACGCAUCCAUGCGAUUAAGAGGCCCAGCUUAUAAUUGGAAUACUGUUUGUGGAAAAAAAAUAGAAUCAUGGUCAGAAUGGAAAAAGCAACUCGUAGAUAGGUUUAAAAUAAGAAUGUCAUUUGCCGAAUUCAUACAAUACCAAAGUAAAAGGAUACUUCGCUCGAAUGAAACCAUUACUGAGUACAUUUAUGUCAAAAAUGCGAUGCUUGAAAAGUCACCUAGUUUAAUUCCAGAGCCCGAUCGAGUAUCUCUGAUACUGGAAGGAAUCCAAGACAUGCGGUGGUCAACGCCUUUGGCAACGCAUUGCUGUAAGAAUGUGGAGGAGCUCAUCAAUCAUGCAACAGCAAUUGACAACAUCAGGAAGGUACAGCGUAAGAUGACCGAGCAGCAAGAAUCACAACAUACAACUGUCAGCACUCCCAGAUUCAGGAUCGGUGGUAACCAUGGUGGAUAAGAAGCUACUCCCAAGUGACCUGCAAGUGUACCCAUGGCAGAAAGGCUCAUACAAGGUAGCAGGGAGCAUGAUCACACCCGUUGGAUGGAUUACAGCGAGGUUACAGGUGGGAAAAAUUGACUAUAUUAUGCCUCAGAUAGCAAUCAGUGAAAACUUACCAGUAGAUAUGAUAAUAGGAAAAGAUUGGCAAAAUGCGGUAUAUGCAAGAAUUAUACAUGAACCAGAUGGCAAAGUAUGUAUCAUUACGCCUACGCAUACAGAGUAUUUUGACAAUUUGACACAGGAUAAUACCUUAACUGCAUGUUGUAUGAAACCCAUAAGCACUAGUAAACAGGAAAUUUUAAUUACACAAGAUGACCAAGAAAAAGUUGCAAAUUUAGUUGACAAGUAUUCAGAUAUUUUUAAAAGUGACAAGAAUGAUAUAGGAGAAUUUCAGGAUGUAGAACUAGAAAUAAAGCUAAAACAUAACAUUCCCAUUAAAUGUAAACCGUAUAGACUGCCACAACCAGAACGAGAAUUUCUAAGAAAAACAAUAGAUGAAUGGAUUGAGCAAAAGAUAUGUAGACAUUCAGAUUCCCCAUAUGCUGCACCAAUGUUUGUUGUAGAACAGCCAUUUCAUAGUACAACCCUUGUCCCCUUUCAGACCAGUUGUAGAUUAUUCAAAGACUAUAAACCCUAUUACAGAAAACAAUGUUCAACCUAUAGACCGAAUGGAUGACAUAAUAAAUGUAAUAUCUCAGUUUGUAUACAAAUUUAAACUUGACAUUUACCAUGCAUAUCACAAUAUUAGAAUUAAAGAGGAAGAUAUUUAUAAGACAGCGGUAAUAACACAGGAUCAUCAUGUAGAAUUCAUGCGAGUCAUGUUUGGCAUGGUCGGAGGACCAUCGAUUAUGUCAAAAGUAAUCAAUUUAACAUAUGGACACUUAUAUGAUCAAGGAGUACGCUUGUAUUAUGAUGACAUUUCAGGAGGAGCACAUAAUAUUGAACAAUUAUUGUCAGUUUUGGAACAGGUAUUUAUUGCAACACAGAAAAAAAAAUUGAAAUUAAACAAAGAAAAGUGUGUAUUUUUAGCAACAGAACUACCACUAUUUGGAAGAAUAAUUGGGCACAAUGAAGAAAAACCAGAUCCACAAAGAACAGCUGCAGUGAGUAGAUACGAAACUUUGACAUCAAUUUCUGAAAUUCGAUCAUUUUUAGGUUUCACAAAUACAUUUAGAAAAUACAUACAAAAUUAUGCAUCUAUUGUAAAACCACUAACAGAUAUGUUGAAACGAAACGCAAAUUUGCCCAUAGAAAAAAAACAAGAGUUUAAAAAGAAACAAGUGACUUUGACAGAAACACAACAAAACGCAUUUCAAUCAGUAAAAACAUUAAUAACGUCGUCACCAAUAUUAGCAUAUUUUCGCCAAGACGCAGAAGAAACCAUAGUAGAAACUGACAGCUCAUACAGUGGAAUAGGAUCGUGUUUGCUUCAGGUUCAAAAUGGACAGAAAAAAGUGAUUGAGUAUGCCAGCAGAUCAUUGAAGGAUACAGAAACAAGAUAUCACAUCAAUGAACUCGAGGUAACGGCAGUUCAUUGGGCUAUUACACAAAAAUUUAGAGUUUACUUGCUUGGCACAAAGUUUACACUUAUCACGGACAGUUACACGACAGCGUACGUUAUAAAUAAAUCAAAAAUGAACAGAAAAUUCGCCAGAUAUGUUGUAGAUUUAGCUCCAUUUGAUUUCAUACCAGUGCACAGACCCGGCAAACAAAAUUGUAUCGCAGAUCAUUUGUCAAGAUAUCCCUUAGAAGAUUUAUGUAUGAUGAUAGUCACAAGUAAUGAAGAAAAAUUAAAACAAGCUCAGAAUAAGGACAAUUUCAUUAAAUUAAUAUGUACAAAAUUAAAUCAAGACCCCACAACACACCAUUUGCAACAAAUUAGACAACAAUAUAAAAUAGAAAACGGUAUUCUCAUACAUGUCAAUGAACAAGAGCUUUACAAUAAAGAGAAAAUUGUAGUACCACAAAGUUUAAGAUCUUUAAUAUUAAAGUUAGCACACGAUGACAGUGGACACAUGGACAUGAAAUCAACAUUGGCACGCAUCAAGCAAAAAUAUUGGUGGAAAUCAAUGCACAAGGACAUUAAAGCUUACACAAAUGCCUGCAUUGUUUGUGCAAGUACCAAUCGAAGAACAAAAUUGGCUUAUGGAUUAAUGGGUACAAGACCGAUACCACACACACCCAUGGAGGUAAUAUCAGCUGACCAUAUAGUAGCAUUGCCACAGACCACUUCAGGCAACAUAUACAUGUUGGUACAUAUAGACCAUGCUACUAGGUACAUAAUGGCUAAGCCCACAAGCUCGUUGUCAGCAAGUGAUGUCAUAGACACAAUAGAAAAGGAUAUUAUUUACGUAUAUGGUCCACCAUUGACAUACAUUUCAGACAAAGCCCCAUGUUUUAUGAGUCAAUCAACUCAACGUUUCUUCACAAAAUAUGGAAUACAACAUCUGCCCACAACACCAUACACGGCUCAGAGCAACGGAUUAAUUGAAAGAGCAAAUGCCACGAUUAUUGCAACUCUGACUAAAAUGGCAUUGGAAAAUAGUACAGAGUGGGACAAGUUAUUGCCUAAUACUUUAUUAGCAAUAAAUACAUCAAGACAGAAGACAACAGAAUAUUCCCCAUUUUAUUUAUUACACGGAUAUCAUCCUAGAAUACCACCCAAUGAAAUUCACAUAGGAACUAUUCAAGAAAAUAUGGACCGGACACAUCAGUUAGAUUUAUUAUCCGAGGCAAGAACCAUAGCAAACAAAAAAAUAGAAGAGCAACAUUGUAGAAAUAAAAUCAGAUUUGACCUCAGAAAAUUAGAACAUAACUUCAAGGAAGGUGAAUAUGUAUUAUAUGCAUGGCCCCAACCACAAGAUCAUAAGUUGACUCCAAAAUACAAGGGACCAUACAAAAUAGUAAAGAAAGUAGGAUCAGUAUGCUAUGAGAUACAGAAUGUCAGACAACCCACAAAGAAGAAGAUAGUCCAUGUACAGUUUUUGAAACCCUUAACACCACCUCCCUCUUUAGAUUCUUUUUCAGCUUUUUCAGAUACACAAAACGAUAACCAUAUUAAUAGUGACCAGUACAAGAAUGAUGACAGCGAUGAUGUAAACUCCCAUAAUGACCAGAUACCGGAGGAUCAUCAGACCACGGACGUGACCCAUACCCUGGAGUGUGAUGGAACCAGUCAUACAGGAGGACGAAGACAGUAUGUAACCAACAGAGGACGCAUCACUGAGAAACCAUACAAGUAUGAUAUUUAACCGGAUUUGACAAUAUAAAUAUAUGUAUUUCUUUUAUAUUCCAUGAUAGUAUACAAUCUAUGUACCUACCUAAGAGUCUUAGAUAUCAAUUUUGUUUUCCAAUAUAUAGUAAUUUCAGUAAUAUUUUGCAUAAUUAAUUUAAAGGUAAACAGUAAAGUAAUUACAUAAUAAUUUCUUUUUACCGUAACUCAGUUUAAAGUGUGGAAAAAAAAAAGUAAAGGAAUGGAAAGUCAGUUUGCGAAGCGCCAGAAUGUGUAAAUAAAAAGAAUUUGCUAUAAAUAUGUACAUAUCUAGCUUUAAGUGUAUAUAGGCGUGUAUAGUAGGGUAACGGUUGUAGUAUUGUGCGUACAGAGAGGAAUAAACAAAAAACAAACAAAUUUGUGUAUAAUGUUAUAUUGCAUGCUUUGUAAAUAAUUACUUAACUUAAUGAGCUUAACCUAAUAAACUUAACCUAGUGCCGAAUAAAAUAAAUUUGUAAAUAAUGACUGAGAUGUAUUUGUAUGAUAUGAUAUGUAGUGUAAUUUAUUUAGAUAUUAGUGUAUAUAACGAGUCUAACAUAAGACAUUAAUUCGUUUGGUAAAUUGCUGUAUAUAGGUCGCUUCAAAAAAAAAAAACAUUAGAUUUAAAAA